rnacentral:miRNA from 1 species
GCUUUAAGAUUGAUGGGGU